GAAUGAAGAACGCAGCGAAAUGCGAUAAGUAAUGUGAAUUGCAGAAUUCAGUGAAUCAUCGAAUCUUUGAACGCACAUUGCGCCCCCUGGUAUUCCGGGGGGCAUGCCUGUCCGAGCGUCAUUACAACCCUCAAGCUCAGCUUGGUAUUGGGCCCCGCCGACCCGGCGGGCCCUAAAGUCAGUGGCGGUGCCGUCCGGCUCCGAGCGUAGUAAUUCUUCUCGCUCUGGAGGUCCGGUCGUGUGCUCGCCAGCAACCCCCAAUUUUUUUCAGGUUGACCUCGGAUCAGGUAGGGAUACCCGCUGAACUUAAGCAUAUCACUAAGCGGAGGA
rnacentral:misc_RNA from 1 species